AGGUGGCCUCAUUUGGUAGCAAAGGCAAAUUGAAGAUUUCUUGAUCCAUAAAUCAGUCUAUAAAAAAUAAGUAAGACUUUGGACUAACAGUCACUAGAUUUUGGAUACCUGGGGGGUUUUUUGUUUUGUUUUUUGUUUUGUUUUGUUUUUGCCUGUUUGCAGGCAUCCAACACUCCUCUCGAAUCGGUGUCUUGCAGAAGCAGAAGAAAAGUAAUACAUCUAUUGUAUUUUGAAAUGAAAGCAGGAAUUAUUUUGCUGCAGAGCUAUAGCUUAACAUUUUUAGCAAAAUGUGGAUCCUUCUUCUCAAUCUUCAUUUAGGAUGCUGUGACUACAACCCUCUGUUUAGUUAGUGGAAUUGAGAACAAGACCCAGGUGGAUGAUUGAGGUUUAAACCCCAAACUUGCCUUGGAUCACUCCACUGUUUCAGGACAUCAAGGGCUCCAGACAUUGAGAAAUUUUCCCUUUAAGUUGCGAUGGGAAUCCAGAACAACGCCAUAUGGACCCCUCUAUGCUGUGAAAUACUUCAGUACUCAGGAGAAGUCAUGUUCUGGUUGCUGCAAGCGUGUGAUGCCCUGUCAUUAAAAUAAGAAAUAGAUUGUUAUCCUC